UCCCGGGGUCCCUGGAUGUCCUCGUUUCCUGUCAGGAAGUUGUUGAACACAGUUCCCUGUUCCAAGAUCCCCCCCAUAAAACACACCAUGCUCUCCCGGAAGUGAGCCUUAGGACCUCAGGGAAUGACCUUAUUCUGCUGUGUGGCAAAUGUCCUGACAAUCCUCUUCAGACCGCCCACCGUGUCAUUGUGGUGACACAAAGGAAAAACUACAUGGCAGUGUUCACCAUGAAAGGAUGAUAUAAUGCAUGAAGCAAACAUGGAAUGGCUUUGUGAAAUAUGAAGGUGUAUAUGAAGGUGUGGACUCAGUGAAGAUGUAUAUGAAGGUGUGGACUCAGUGAAGAUGUCGAAUGAAGGUGUGGACUCAGUGAAGAUGUAUAUGAAGGUGUGGACUCAGUGAAGAUGUCGAAUGAAGGUGUGGACUCAGUGAAGAUGUAUAUGAAGGUGUGGACUCAGUGAAGAUGUCGAAUGAAGGUGUGGACUCAGUGAAGAUGUCGAAUGAAGGUGUGGACUCAGUGAAGAUGUCGAAUGAAGGUGUGGACUCAGUGAAGAUGUCGAAUGAAGGUGUGGACUCAGUGAAGAUGUCGAAUGAAGGUGUGGACUCAGUGAAGAUGUCGAAUGAAGGUGUAUUUUAUCCCUCUGUACCCUGGUGACAUUACAUGUAUCCUUUACAGUGCCAUUCUAUACCGUUGAAGUACAGCUCUAGGUCAUUGUACAUGCCCUAUGUAGGUCAUAUUGACUUCACCCACAACAAUUCAGAUGCUUUUGGAGCUGUAUAUGACUGAGGCCAACACAUCUUUCCCGGUCUGUUGCCUCGUGGAUGGGGACUGUCAGAAUUGGAGGCUGUUUUCCUAGCUUCUUGAAGACUAGAACUAGCUAGCUGGUAAAUGAGGCUUUUCCCCAAAGCCUGUUGGAAAAACCGCCCAAUACAUCCUCCUCUUGCACAAAGGAUCAAAAUGCUUCAACUGACUCCUAUUUCAUUAAAUCCCUAAGCUGGUUGUUACUAUGUUAAAGCCCUUUGUGAUUCAUUGAACA